UGGUCGUCGACUUGUGCAACUAUUGUACAAUUUUAAUCAGACUAAUAUUGCACAUGUCCCGGCCAAU
rfam:Acyrthosiphon pisum strain LSR1 Contig21355, whole genome shotgun sequence.